rnacentral:rRNA from 1 species
AUUGAACGCUGGCGGCAGGCCUAACACAUGCAAGUCGAACGAGUGGCGGACGGGUGAGUAAUGUCUGGGAAACUGCCUGAUGGAGGGGGAUAAAUACUGGAAACGGUAGCUAAUACCGCAUACCAUCAGAUGUGCCCAGAUGGGAUUAGCUUGUUGGUGGGGUAACGGCUCACCAAUGCGACGAUCACUAGCUGGUCUGAGAGGAUGACCAGCCACACUGGAACUGAGACACGGGCCAGACUCCGAAUGGAGGGAGCAGUGGUGAAUAUGGCAUAAUGGGCGCAAGCCUGAUGCAGCCAUGCCGGGUGUAUGAAGAAGGCCUUCGGGGUGUAAAGUACUUUCAGCGGGGAGGCGUUACCCGCAGAAGAAGCACCGGCGAACUCCGUGCCAGCAGCCGCGGUAAUG